ACGCUGGCGGUGUGCUUAACACAUGCAAGUGGUGCGACGAACCAGAGCUUGCUCUAGGGGCAAAGCCGCGAACGGGUGAGUAACACGUGGGUAAUCUACCCCGAUGACCGGGACAACCCGAGGAAACUCGGGCUAAUACCGGAUGUGGUACGGAGACAUAAGUCUCUUUACUAAAGGUAGCUUCGGCUUCCGCAUUGGGAGGGGCCCGCGGCCCAUUAGCUAGUUGUGGGGUCAAGGCCUACCAAGGCAACGAUGGGUAGCUGGUCUGAGAGGACGAUCAGCCACACUGGGACUGAGACACGGCCCAGACUCCUACGGGAGGCAGCAGUGGGGAAUCUUGCGCAAUGCGCGAAAGCGUGACGCAGCAACACCGCGUGAGGGAAGACGGCCUUAGGGUUGUAAACCUCUUUCAGAUGGGACGAAGGUGAUGCGGUGAAUAGCCGAUGUCAUUGACGGUACCGUCAGAAGAAGCUCCGGCUAACUACGUG
rnacentral:rRNA from 1 species